rnacentral:lncRNA from 1 species
UUUAUCGACAUUUACUGACAUUUACUUUAUCGUAAAUUUACUACUGACAUUUACUGACAUUUACUUUAUCGUAAAUUUACUUUAAAGGGUGGUGCGGGUUUAUCGUCCACGCCUUUACUGUCAUUUAAAUGUAUGGAGAAGAAUUAGUGCCCAUACAAGCACGUUUACUUUACCGCACAUUUACAGUAUGGUGCGGGAUUAACGUCCAUACAGCAAUUUAAUUUAUGAAUUUACUUUACCGCACAUUUAAAGUAUGGUGCUGGAUUAACGUCCAUACAAGUAAUUUAUUUAACAGUAAAUUUAUUUUAUGGAUUAAUUGUGCUGUAUGAUGAGUUUUUACAGUAUACAGAUCAGGACCAGAAGGUCCUUGAUCCUCAUCAUACAUUUACAUCAGGACUUGAAGAUCCUUGAUGAUGAUAUUGAUAUGAG